rnacentral:lncRNA from 1 species
AGCCAUUGAUCUUUUCAUUUUCACCACAGUUUUGUUUUUGGUUUGGUUUUUUUUUUUUUUUUUUUUUUUAGGCAGAGUCUCACUCCUUCACUCAGGCUGGGGUGCAGCAGCUUGAUCCUUCAUCUUGGCUCACUGCAACCUCCUCCUCCCAAGCUCAAGCGAUUCCUGUGCCUCAGCCUCCUGAGUAGCUGGGAUUACAGGCAUGCACCACCAUGCCCAGCUAAUUUUUAUAUUUUUAGUAGAGAUGGGGUUU